AGUGUGUGGGAGUGUGUGUGAGUGUGAGUGGGUGUGUGAGUGUUAGUAUGUGUCUGAGUGUUAGUGUGGGAGUAUGUCUGAGUGUGUGUGUCUGUUAGUGUGUGAGCGUGUGAGUGUGAGUGUGUGCACGCUGGGAAGAGACAUGGGCUAAGAAUAAAAUACUUUCCCAGAGUGUAGCAAAUAAUAGCAAAGUGCACCCAUCAGUUCUCCUGCCUUAAGCAACUAUGGGCUUUCACUCUUCAACUUUCUUCUCCCUCUCUCUCUCACACACACACACACACACACACACACACCAUGAGAACUCUUCUGAGCUCUCCUGGCAAGGUUGGGCUCCCUGCUUCCCCCAUAUCCCCUCACUUACACCAAGUUCCGUCCCCCUGACUGGAAUGUUUGGGGUGAGAGCCCCUCCUUUGUCCUAUUUGCACCAGCGUCAGCUGAGUGUGUUAGGAAGUGUGACCGCCGCCUCUCAUGGACCCCGGAACAACCUCCUGUUCGCACAGGGGCCCACUCCUAAUCUUCUGGAGUUGGCAUCAUGGGAGAUGACCAAACUCUCCUGCAAAGUCUUGCGCAGUACCGUGAUCAAUAAAACUAGGAGAGUAAAACAGAACGCUCUGAAUUUGGAGCCAGAAAACCUUGAUUCAGGUCCUUCAUGUGGCCUUGGGCAAAUCACUUAACCUUUCUGAGCCUGUACCCUCAACCGUAUCUUCCUGUUUCUUAAGAUCAAUGUGAGGUUUAAUGAUAAAUAACUCUUAAAAGGGCUUUGCAUCAUGCUUGGGCAUUUUGGCUAUUCAAGAACCUCACGCUGCAUGAAGAAAGAUGCAUUCUGUGUGACUCUGGAGGCUUUUCGAGCAGAGAGAAACAGCAGGUUCACAGCCCUCGGCUUGUUCCUCCUCCUGCUCACACUUCACCCUUCACCCUGGCUGACCUGCGUGUGCCAAACACGGUUGUGAGCUCCCACAGAAUGAGGAGAGGCAGCCCGUUCCGCUGCAUCUCCCCAGGGCACCGGCAAGAACAGGCAAAGCCUCGUUGACUGAAUUCACGGAGAGCAGAGACUGCACCCAGGCCUCGACCCCAGGACUUCUGUGUUGUGUGAGACGUGCUAGUGAUGCCGCUUUAAGCUCUGCUUUGAAAAUGGUCCUUUGACAGAUUCUGAAUGCAAGUGGCCUCCUUACGAGAUCCUGCGGAAUAACAAGGACAACUUAUCACAACUUCCUCAUUGUAAAAUCCAGCUCAGACUGCAGUUGAAGAUCACAAAUGCUCUCUGUUUCACUUUGCGAUGUUUGUGGUGUCUAAUACAACAACACAAGCCUAGGUUCCUGUGCGUAGACUUCCUUAUUGUUUAUUUACCAUCCACUUCUUCUGAGCAGGACUGAUCGACUUUUCGCUUCUUAGACCCUUGGUGGGUGGCCUAACACUGGGAACGUCCCUGGGAAUCAAUGGCCUCCCAUGCUAUUGCCCUAAGAGGAAAAACUAUGGACCCAUUUCCGGCUCGUGAGUUGGAAGUGGAGGUCUGCUGGCGGCCUUUGUCUCCCUGCCUUCCCCUCCUGUCACUGGCUGGAACAUGUGCUUGAUGCCUGGCGUUCAGCAGCCCUGUUGAAACUGUGAGGUGACUGGCAGGUGUCAGAAGGAAAGCAAACUGCCUAGUGACGGCAGAGGCUGCAUGCACUCCACUGCCCUCUGCUCCACUGUCCACUCACCUCCGCUGGCUCUGUGCCCCAAGGCCCUGGCCUCUAUGGCCGGCAUCCAUGGGCUUCCCUAUCCUCUGGCCUCCAGGUGGGUUCAGUCACAGCAGAAGCUGGGAGGGGCAGCUGGAGGUUGGAGAAACAUGAGGCUAGUGUCCAGCUCCCUCCCUGGCCGAGCCAGCCGUGGACGUGCUCCUUUCCGGGAAGCCAGCACUCCUUUCCGGUGGUCCUGCUCUGACCACGGCAGCUCGAGCUGAGCACAGAGUGACGGCUACAGCUCCCUCCACAUCUGGCCUGGGAUGGGAACAGCUCCUGGAUGCUUCUUCUUCCUGUGCUGGCAUCCCUUAGUCCCUCCCACCUUUUUUUUUUUAUAUAAUAAACCUGCUUUGUUCAAUCCUCCUCAACCACCCACUGAAGCAAGCCCUCCUUUCCUUGCCGGGACCCAGAGAGCUGCUGGAAAAGAAAGGGUGGGCGCCCCGCAGUGUGAUCAGCACCUGGGCAGAUCCCGCCCACCUUCUAUGAUGAAAGCCCUGGAUGGUUUCCUAUCCCCACCCUGAGCUCCUCCCCUAACUCCCCAAAACAUUGGGAAGAUGGGCCUUCUGUCCUGGAAGGGGCCAGUCUCCUGGGCGGAGCGCUAUGCAUAGGAAGGAAAGCCGUGUUACUCAAUGGUUCUACUGAACCACUAAGCAGCAGGGGCUCUGGGGGCACCGUGGAGAUAGAGAACCCUUAGGAAGGCGAUGCUGGAUCCUAUGGGUCUCAACAGAGGGCCUUACGGGUAGGCCCUGUAGGAGGGACUGGGAGACGCAGGUCCCAGGAACACGUGUGCUGGGCACACGUGAGUACAUGCAGGGUCAAAGCUGGCAGGCAGGCGGGUUGAGCCUCUCCGUGCUCCCACGGGGUCUGCAUCAGAUUUUGCACUUAGCAGGCGAACUUGCUUCCCAGGGCCACUGUAACAACCAACCACGAAUGGGAGGCUCAACACAACUGAAACGCGCGUCCUCACAGUCCUGGAGGCCCGAACUCCAAAUCCAAGGCGCCAGCAGGGCCACGCUUCCUCCACGGAGCCUCGGGGAGCAGACGGUCUUGAGACGAGACUUGCUCCCGCAACCCUUUCCCAGCUGCAGCUGCCUCUCCGCCAUCUCUGCCUCCGUGGCCACGCGGCAUCUUCUCCCUGGCAUGGGCUGAACCACCGCAUCUCGGGCAGGUCUGACGGCGUUUCUAUCAGCACAGCCCACAAUGAUGGUCUUCUCCCUCGCUUCCUGAUUUUGUUUGACAUCCA
rnacentral:lncRNA from 1 species